AUUUUCCCGUCGAGUCCCAAAUAGGACGAAAUGCGCAUCAUGGAU
rfam:Trichobilharzia regenti genome assembly, scaffold: TRE_scaffold0002118